UUGCACGCUGGCGGCAUGCUUUACACCUGCAAGUCGAACGGUAACAGGCCUUCGGGUGCUGACGAGUGGCGAACGGGUGAGUAAUGCAUCGGAACGUACCCAGAGGUGGGGGAUAACGCAGCGAAAGCUGUGCUAAUACCGCAUGUGAUCUGAGGAUGAAAGCGGGGGACCGAGCAGCAAUGUUUGGCCUCGCGCCUUUGGAGCGGCCGAUGUCGGAUUAGCUAGUUGGUGGGGUAAAGGCCUACCAAGGCGACGAUCCGUAGCUGGUCUGAGAGGACGACCAGCCACACUGGGACUGAGACACGGCCCAGACUCCUACGGGAGGCAGCAGUGGGGAAUUUUGGACAAUGGGCGCAAGCAUGAUCCAGCAAUGCCGCGUGCGGGAAGAAGGCCUUCGGGUUGUAAACCGCUUUUGGCAGGAACGAAACGGUGUCCGCUAAUACCGGGCGCUAAUGACGGUACCUGCAGAAUAAGCACCGGCUAACUACGUG
rnacentral:rRNA from 1 species